rnacentral:lncRNA from 1 species
CUGCUAUAUUUAUGGCUUAUUUUUGUCUUUCAUCUUUUUCUUUUUAGAAGAUUUGACCAUCAUGUGCACUUGAGAUAUGGAGUAGCAGUGAAAAAAAAGUAGUGAGAACGGGCUACUUAAAUACUAAGACUCAUGAAACAGUUCAAAUUAGAACAACUUCAUGAGAGCAAAUCUGGAUACAUUAACCAGGUCAUAUGGUAAGCCAAAGUACCAGCCAGGAGACCGUAUACAUUUUUGAGAUAAGCUACGUAAUAACUGGCAGGUAUAUAGCAGCUCUUCUGUUCCAGGAGCUAAACUAAAAUCUGCUUUUCUAGAAUUGCAGCAGGAUUGCCCUAGUCUCCUCAGUUCUUGGAAAGCCCUUUCAGGAAUUGUUCUUGAGGAUUCACUGAAAUGGAAAACUAAAUAAGCCUUUCCAGAUUCUCAGUUCUCCCAACCUGGAGGGGAAAAAAAAUGAUCAAAUUGGGAAGUACUACUUUAUGGUGAUAUUGAAGAUUGAGCAACCUCUUAAUCUUUAGGUGGUGUUUCCAGAUAAAUAUUAAAACAGCCACCACGUACAUAAAGUGGGACAAAGAAUAUAGGGAGACAUACUGUAUCUGUCAG